rnacentral:rRNA from 1 species
GAUGAACGCUGGCGGCGUGCCUAAUACAUGCAAGUCGAGCGAAUCUUUUGGGAGCUUGCUCCCAAAAGAUUAGCGACGGACGGGUGAGUAACACGUGGGCAACCUGCCUAUAAGACUGGGAUAACUUCGGGAAACUGGAGCUAAUACCGGGUACGUUCUUUUCUCGCAUGAGAGAAGAUGGAAAGACGGCUUCUAGCUGUCACUUAUAGAUGGGCCCGCGGCGCAUUAGCUAGUUGGUGGGGUAAUGGCUCACCAAGGCGACGAUGCGUAGCCGACCGGGGAGGGUGAGCGGCCACACUGGGACUGAGACACGGCCCAGACUCCUACGGGAGGCAGCAGUAGGGAAUCUUCCGCAAUGGACGAAAGUCUGACGGAGCAACGCCGCGUGAACGAAGAAGGCCUUCGGGUCGUAAAGUUCUGUUGUUAGGGAAGAACAAGUACCAGAGUAACUGCUGGUACCUUGACGGUACCUAACCAGAAAGCCACGGCUAACUACGUGCCAGCAGCCGCCGCAGUAA